rnacentral:misc_RNA from 1 species
GCGCAGGGGUAAGCAUGGGAAUUGCGUUUGCUGAUGUGGAACAAGAGAACAAGGAGGAAAUUGUAGGUCUGCACACUAAGAAAUUGAUGAAGAACUUGAGAAUGUGCGAGGACGUCAUGAGGCUUUCAAGCUGAUCAGUAAGACUGUGGAGAGAGAAUUUGAUGUGAGAGAGACUAAAAGAUUUCAUCAUGGGUUUUUUUUUUUUUUUUUUUUUUUGGGGGGGGGUGGGUUGUUUUUUUGGUUUAAAAAACAAAACAAAAAAAAAAACCAAAAAAAACCCNNAACACAAGGAAUUGCCAUGGGAGAGCAAUUGCUUUUAAUACAAAGUAACUGUUAAUCUAAU